GGGCCCAUACCCCAAAUACGUGGGCGAAAACCCCUCUUUUACUA
rnacentral:tRNA from 1 species